rnacentral:rRNA from 2 species
ACUCUGACGAAGCAACGCCGCGUGAGUGAUGAAAGCUUUCGGGUCGUAAAACUCUGUUGUUAGGGAAGAACAAGUACGAGAGUAACUGCUUGUACCUUGACGGUACCUAACCAGAAAGCCACGGCUAACUACGUGCCAGCAGCCGCGGUAAUACGUAGGUGGGCAAGCGUUAUCCGGAAUUAUUGGGCGUAAAGCGCGCGCAGGCGGUUUCUUAAGUCUGAUGUGAAAGCCCACGGCUCAACCGUGGAGGGUCAUUGGAAACUGGGGAACUUGAGUGCAGAAGAGAAAAGCGGAAUUCCACGUGUAGCGGUGAAAUGCGUAGAGAUGUGGAGGAACACCAGUGGCGAAGGCGGCUUUUUGGUCUGUAACUGACGCUGAGGCGCGAAAGCGUGGGGAGCAAACAGGAUUAGAUACCCUGGUAGUCCACGCCGUAAACGAUGAGUGCUAAGUGUUAGAGGGUUUCCGCCCUUUAGUGCUGCAGCUAACGCAUUAAGCACUCCGCCUGGGGAGUACGGUCGCAAGACUGAAACUCAAAGGAAUUGACGGGGGCCCCCACCAGCGG